AUUGAACGCUGGCGGCAGGCCUAACACAUGCAAGUCGAAUGGUAACAGGAAACAGCUUGCUGUUUCGCUGACGAGUGGCGGACGGGUGAGUAAUGUCUGGGAAACUACCUGAUGGAGGGGGAUAACUACUGGAAACGGUAGCUAAUACCGCAUAACGUCGCAAGACCAAAGAGGGGGACCUUCGGGCCUCUUGCCAUCAGAUGUGCCCAGAUGGGAUUAGCUAGUAGGUGGGGUAACGGCUCACCUAGGCGACGAUCCCUAGCUGGUCUGAGAGGAUGACCAGCCACACUGGAACUGAGACACGGUCCAGACUCCUACGGGAGGCAGCAGUGGGGAAUAUUGCACAAUGGGCGCAAGCCUGAUGCAGCCAUGCCGCGUGUAUGAAGAAGGCCUUCGGGUUGUAAAGUACUUUCGGCGGGGAGGAAGGGAGUAAAGUUAAUACCUUUGCUCAUUGACGUUACCCGCAGAAGAAGCACCGGCUAACUCCGUG
rnacentral:rRNA from 1 species